UACAGAGGUCUCAAGCGUUGUUCGGAUUCAUUGGGCGUAAAGGGUGUGUAGGUGGCGCGCUAAUUCGGGUGUGAAAUUUCGGAGCUUAACUCCGAAACUGCAUUCGAUACUGGCGUGCUUGAGGACUGGAGAGGAGACUGGAAUUCAUGGUGUAGCAGUGAAAUGCGUAGAGAUCAUGAGGAAGACCAGUGGCGAAGGCGGGUCUCUGGACAGUUCCUGACACUGAGACACGAAGGCCAGGGGAGCAAACGGG
rnacentral:rRNA from 1 species